UCCCAGACUCCUACGGGAGGCAGCAGUGGGGAAUUUUGGACAAUGGGCGCAAGCCUGAUCCAGCUAUUCCGCGUGUGGGAUGACGGCCCUCGGGUUGUAAACCACUUUAGUAGAGAACGAAAAGGAGCUAUCGAAUAAAUAGCUCUGCUGACGGUACUCUAAGAAUAAGCACCGGCUAACUACGUGCCAGCAGCCGCGGUAAUACGUAGGGUGCGAGCGUUAUCCGGAUUUAUUGGGUUUAAAGGGUGCGUAGGCGGGAGAUCAAGUCAGCGGUAAAAAGGCGGGGCCCAACCCCGUCGAGCCGUUGAAACUGGUUUUCUUGAGUGGGCGAGAGGUAUGCGGAAUGCGUGGUGUAGCGGUGAAAUGCAUAGAUAUCACGCAGAACCCCGAUUGCGAAGGCAGCAUACCGGCGCCCAACUGACGCUGAGGCACGAAAGCGUGGGUAUCGAACAGGAUUAGAUACCCCGGUAAG
rnacentral:rRNA from 1 species